rnacentral:rRNA from 1 species
GGCCUACGGGAGGCAGCAGUAGGGAAUUCUCGUCAAUGGGCGCAAGCCUGAACGAGCAAUGCCGCGUGAACGAGGAAGGUCUUCGGAUCGCAAAGUUCUGUUGAAGGGGAAAAAGAGCGGAGAGAGGAAAUGGUCUCCGAUUGAUAUUACCCUUCGAGGAAGUCACGGCUAACUACGUGCCAGCAGCCGCGGUAAUACGUAGGUGGCGAGCGUUAUCCGGAAUGAUUGGGCGUAAAAGGUGCGUAGGCGGCCUGCUAAGUCUGGAGUGAAAGGUACCGGCUCAACCGGUACAGGCUCUGGAAACU